rnacentral:rRNA from 1 species
CCUACGGGUCGCAGCAGUGGGGAAUAUUGCACAAUGGGCGCAAGCCUGAUGCAGCCAUGCCGCGUGUAUGAGGAAGGCCUUCGGGUUGUAGAGUACUUUCAGCGGGGAGGAAGGUGUUGUGGUUAAUAACCGCAGCAAUUGUCGUUACCCGCAGAAGAAGCACCGGCUAACUCCGUGCCAGCAGCCGCGGUAAUACGGAGGGUGCAAGCGUUAAUCGGAAUUACUGGGCGUAAAGCGCACGCAGGCGGUCUGUCUAGUCGGAUGUGAAAUCCCCGGGCUCAACCUGGGAACUGCAUUCGAAACUGGCAGGCUAGAGUCUUGUAGACGGGGGUAGAAUUCCAGGUGUAGCGGUGAAAUGCGUAGAGAUCUGGAGGAAUACCGGUGGCGAAGGCGGCCCCCUGGACAAAGACUGACGCUCAGGUGCGAAAGCGUGGGGAGCAAACAGGAUUAGAUACCCGUGUAGUC